AUUGAACGCUGGCGGCAGGCCUAACACAUGCAAGUCGGGCGAGAGGCGUACGGGAGAGUAAUGUAUGGGGAUCUGCCUGAUGGAGGGGGAUAACUACUGGAAACGGUAGCCAAUACCGCAUUCCAUCAGAUGAACCCAUAUGGGAAUAGCUUGUAGGAGAGGGAACGGCUCACCAGGGAGACGAUCCCGAGCUGGGCGGAGAGGAUGAUCAGCCACACUGGGACUGAGACACGGCCCAGACUCCUACGGGAGGCAGCAGUGGGGAAUAUUGCACAAUGGGCGCAAGCCUGAUGCAGCCAUGCCGCGUGUGUGAAGAAGGCCUUCGGGUUGUAAAGUACUUUCAGUCGGGAGGCGUUACCGACAGAAGAAGCACCGGCUAACUCCGUGCCAGCCGCCGCGGUAAUAC
rnacentral:rRNA from 1 species